rnacentral:rRNA from 1 species
AUUGAACGCUGGCGGCAUGCUUUACACAUGCAAGUCGAACGGUAACAGGUCUUCGGAUGCUGACGAGUGGCGAACGGGUGAGUAAUGCAUCGGAACGUGCCCAGUCGUGGGGGAUAACGCAGCGAAAGCUGCGCUAAUACCGCAUACGAUCUAUGGAUGAAAGCGGGGGACCGUAAGGCCUCGCGCGAUUGGAGCGGCCGAUGUCAGAUUAGGUAGUUGGUGGGGUAAAGGCCCACCAAGCCAACGAUCUUUGGCGGGUCUGAGAGGACGACCAGCCACGCGGGGAGUGGAACACGGCCAAGAUUCCUACGGGGGGAAGCAGUGGGGAAUUUUGGACAAUGGGCGCAAGCCUGAUCCAGCAAUGCCGCGUGCAGGAAGAAGGCCUUCGGGUUGUAAACUGCUUUUGUACGGAACGAAACGGCUCUCUCUAAUACGUGGGGCUCAUGACGGUACCGUAAGAAUAAGCACCGGCUAACUACGUGCCAGCAGCCGCCGUAA